AAGUCGUAACAAGGUCUCCGUUGGUGAACCAGCGGAGGGAUCAUUAAAAGAGCAUAAAACCCUCUUAAACCCGUGAACUUACCCUAUAGUUGCUUCGGUGGGCGGCCCCCUGGGAGGGGCCGUAGCUCGUGAGGGCGCUCGCCGGAUGCCCUAAACCAUUUUUUUCUUGGCAUUUCUGAGCCAAACUCAAUUGUUAAAA
rnacentral:misc_RNA from 1 species